rnacentral:rRNA from 1 species
UACGAAGGGUGCAACCGUUGCUCGGAAUUAUUGGGCGUAAAGCGCACGUAGGCGGCUUUGCAAGUCGGAUGUGAAAUCCCCCGGCUCAACCGGGGAACGGCUGGGUAUACUGGCGGCCUUGAGGCACCCAGGGGCGAGCGGAACAGGCGGUGGAGCGGUGAAAUGCGUAGAUAUCGCCUGGAACGCCGACGGUGAAAACAGCUCGCUGGGGGUGUGCUGACGCUGAGACACGAAAGCCAGGGGAGCGAACGGG